rnacentral:rRNA from 1 species
CCUACGGGGAGCAGCAGUGAGGACUAUUGGUCAAUGGACGAGAGUCUGAACCAGCCAAGUAGCGUGAAGGAUGACUGCCCUAUGGGUUGUAAACUUCUUUUAUAUGGGAAUAAAAUGUUCCACGUGUGGGAUUUUGUAUGUACCAUAUGAAUAAGGAUCGGCUAACUCCGUGCCAGCAGCCGCGGUAAUACGGAGGAUCCGAGCGUUAUCCGGAUUUUUUGGGUUUAAAGGGAGCGUAGGUGGAGUGUUAAGUCAGUUGUGAAAGUUUGCGGCUCAACAGUAAAAUUGCAGUUGAAACUGGCAGGAUUUAGUACAGUAGAGGUGGGCGGAAUUCGUGGUGUAGCGGUGAAAUGCUGAGAUAUUACGAAGAACUCCGAUUGCGAAGGCAGUUCACUGGACUGCAACUGACACUGAGGCUCGAAAGUGUGGGUAUCAAACAGGAUUAGAUACCCCAGUAGUC